GCCGGUGUGGUGGAAUGGUAGACACCAGGGACUUAAAAUCCCUUGGCCGCAAGACCGUGCCCGUUCGAGUCGGGUCACCGGCACCA
rnacentral:tRNA from 1 species